rnacentral:tRNA from 1 species
GCACUUGUAGCUCAACUGGAUAGAGCAACGGUCUACGAAACCGUAGGUUGAAGGUUCAAGUCCUUCCAAGUGCA